rnacentral:sRNA from 1 species
CAGCUAAAUAGUUUAAUGUAUCAGCAAUCCAAUCACCAUCAAAUGUAAUG